UAAUGUUUUUUUUAUUUUUGAAGAAUAAUAAAGACAGUUAUUUUGUAUAAAAAUAUUUUUUCAAUUCCUGGAGUCACAACCCAGUUGGAAUGCAGAUCUGUGCAGACUUUGAAUGUAAUCGUAAACUUUGUUUCGGAUCGACUCUUUAGAAAGAUGGCUAAUUUGUUGUUCACGCUGGAGACAGAGCUUCACUCUUUCAUGGAGGUUUUGAUCAAAUCGAUCGUGAAUGAAGUUUCUGAAGUUUUCCGAGACAGGGUGGUUAAAAUCUCACAGUGUGUGGAGGACAAUUUCGGGAGUGAAAUGGCGCAGCUGAAGAAGGAAAACGAGAGCCUGAAGUGGAGACUGCAACUGUGGGAGAAGGAGUCGGGAGCAGGAGGAGAUCAGGGACAGACAGAUCAUGUUGGACACACGCUUCCCUGUGAAGUCACUGCAGAAAUAAAAGAAGAAAUAGACAUGAAACCGGAGCUGUCAGGCUCAGAGGCCAGUGCUCUCCCUGAUGCUGGGGAAAGGGCUCCUUUUGAACAGCAGCAUGGUGAGGAGGAGUGGGACACAAGUCUUAUGCAGGAAACUGCUGCAGAAGAGAAAGAGAAACUCAGUGAGCAGCACACAGAGAGCAGACAGAGUGUCGAGGAUCUGGACUGUGUGCACAUGAUGAAGACAGAACCUGAGAGUGAGACACACGGGCUCUUAGUAUCUGAUAUCAAUAUACAUGUUUUUAAUAAUGUUAAUACUUUUAAUACUGGAGAAGGAUUUAAUGAACCAGAGUCUGCGUCUGAUUUUGUACACAAAGAUGAAAAACUGAACGAACUAGAUGCUUUUAGUCCUUCAGAGCUAGAGAAAAAGCCCCAGAUGAUUCACACUGCUGAGCAGCACACUGAUGGACAUGAUGGGCAGAACACAGCUCAGGAUCAGCAAACAGAGCAAGAUCAUUACUGGGGGCAUUUGGAGAAUAAGAACCCAGAGCAAGGCCUAAAGAUCAGGAAGAAUUAUUCAAGGCCUUGCUCAGAGGGAACUGACAAACUGUCAUUACAUCACAGGGAAGAGCUGGGGUAUUAUCAGUCUAAUACUCCAAACCCCCACAAACACCUUCAGGCAGGAGAGAAACAAUUCAGAUGCCGUCAGUGUGGGAAGAGUUUUAGUCGACUAAAUCGAUUAAAAACCCACAAUUUUAUUCAUACAGGAAAGAAACCGUUCUGUUGCAGUCAGUGUGGGAAGAGAUUUUGUACAUCAAGCAGUUUAAAAAGACACCAGCACACUCACACUGGAGAGCGCCCAUUCGGGUGCAGUCAGUGUGGGAAGAGGUUUAGUCGGUCAAGUAACUUGAAAACACACCAGCGCAUUCACACAGGAGAGAAACCAUUCAUCUGCAGUCAGUGUGGGGAGGGUUUUCGAGACUCGGGUACCUUAAGAGUCCAUCAGCGCACUCACACAGGAGAGAAACCAUUUUGCUGCCAUCAGUGUGGGAAGAGUUUUAAUUACUUAAGCAGCCUUGAAACCCACCAUCUUAUUCACACAGGAGACAAACCAUUCUGUUGCAGUCAAUGUGGGAAGAGCUUUAGUCGAUCAGGUAAUUUAAAAUUCCAUCAACGCAUUCACACAGGAGAGAAACCAUUCUGCUGCACUCAGUGUGGGAAGAAUUUUAGUCGGUCAAAUGCCUUAAAAAGGCACCAGUGCAUUCACACAGGAGAGAGACCAUUCAUCUGUAGUCAGUGUGGGGAGGGUUUUAAAGACUCAAAAGCCUUGAGAGUCCAUCAGCGCAGUCACACAGGGGAGAAACCAUUCAGCUGCAAUCAGUGUGGGAAAAGUUUUAAUUACUUAAGCAGCUUUAAAAUCCAUCAGCGCACUCACACAGGGGAGAAACCUUUCCAUUGCAGUCAGUGUGGGAAGAGUUUUAGUCGGUCAACUAGCUUAAAGUUCCACCAGCGCAUUCAUACAGGAGAGAAACCAUUCAGAUGCAGUCAGUGUCGGAAGAGUUUUAGUCAAUUAAGAUAUUUAAAACGUCACCAGCACAUUCACAUAGGAGAAAAAAGCUUCUGUUGAAGUCAAUGUGGAAUCAAUUAGGCAACUUAAAAUCCCACUAGUGCAUUCAAGAAGUGGAGAAACCAGUCAUCUGUGAAGGGUUUUAUUAAAACCCACAGGAACACUCACACAGGAGCGAAGUCAUUCAGUUACUGUCAGUGUGGGGAGUGUUUAAGCGUGUUGAGUAAAUUGAAAAGGCACUAGUGUGUUUACUAGUUCAGUUGUAUUCUGUGUUGAAAGAGAAUUAAAGACUUGGUUAUCAUCAAAAAGCAAUUACACAAUCAUUCAGGAGAGUUGUUCAGCUGUAAUAACUGCAUGAAAGAUUUGCAAUGUUCAGAGCCCCAUUACAUUAGCCCAGGAGAGAAACCUUUCAGCUUCAGUGUGGGGAGAGUUCUUCUAGAACGUACCAGCUUAAUUUUUCCUGACAUUGCUUUUGUCUUUUCCGUUUCUAUGUGUAUGUGUGCAUUGCCUAUAAUAGGUCUACAUACCUUUUCCAUAAUAUAUUUUGUGGCAAAAACAAAACACAAGAAAUUAAGGCACACAAGAUCAGAAUUUAUACAAUUCUUUUAACUUUAUUUACACUUUGGAAUGCAAACUCUGAACAAAGAGUUUAAACAAAUGUUUAAAUGUUCUGUAAAGUAAUCACAUCUCCUCUUGUUAGACCUUUAACGGAUUAAGUUGUAAACACUUAAAAUGCUAGUUUUCUCUUAAUUUGGGGAUUUCAAAUCAGUCUACAGUAACUGGGUAUUUUUCGGUUAAAAUAUAAAUUUUAUAUUUUCUUUCUCCUUUAAGUGACAUCUCCACUUGAUGAGGCAUCCUAAUGAAAAGCAAGUAUUGAUGACAAUUUUUUAAAGGGGAAUUGUCAACACCUGAUUAGUGUCAGCUAGGACAUUAGUGUCAGUUGGGAGCUUCAGAGCAAGAAAGGAAGGGAUGUGUAGGGGGUCUGAGACACCUGAUCAAAGGAAUUGUCUAGUUAUCCUGGGUCAGUUCAGUUCUUGGUGAAUCAUUAUGAGCCAUCAGCUUUCCAGAAUAAAAGAGACAGAAGAGAGGAUAGACAGAAAGACACAAGGAGUAAGAGAAAAGGCAGCAACUGGAGGUGAGAGGUUCUUGUUUGAAUCAACUGUAAAGACCAGAUUUGUGUUAAAUAUUUUAACCUUGUCAUUCUUUAGUUUUAAGGAAACUGAUUUCCUGUGCAAAGUAUCCCUAGGUUAAAAAUGUGGUUGGUGGUCUGGUUAGUGGAUACAUAUUUUUAGAAUGUGGAGAUUAUAUUUGUAAGCAGAUGUUUGUAUUCUGCUUAGUUUAGAUAGCAGGUUUAUCUCAUGUUGGCCUAUGUAGGUGGUAUAUAGGAAUCUGAAUACUUGGUAACAGACUGUAUUUUUUUUCUUGUUGGCCAGAACAAAGGCCUCUGGGACACCUUGUUUGUAAAUAGAGUAACUGGUAUGUUUUAUGUUGUAUUUUGUGGUGUUUAUUGUGUGUUAUUGU